GUCCAAAGAAACCUAUAAAAAUCCAUCAAGGAAAAUAUUUUUAUAUACCAACUGCUAAAAAGUGAGAGAAGAUAUUGCUAGCAAUGCAUCUUGCACAUGGUGGGAAGCAGUGAUAGCAGGACCAUCUCUAGCCCUUGUGAGUGCCGGGAGUUGAAAUCAUGACCCACAAAACCUCAAAACCCUAAAAACAAAUGAAGGAGAAGAGGCGACUGCUUUUCUGUUCUUGUGCAAGGCAAUGUCACAGACUGGGGAGGACCCUUCCUCCUGAUUUUACUGAGGAACUAUAAAUUGCUAUUGCAAAUGCACUCUAUUGCUUUCUUAAGGUAAGAAAUAAAGUUUGCAUUUUGUUGCGUUUGUACUUUACACAAUGUUUUGUAACUUAGCUCUGUGAUAUAAUGUGCCUAUAACGUUUUUUAUCUAAAGAUCUUAAACAAUUUUACUUUAUGAGAGGUUUGCAAUUUUUAACAUUUUUUUACCCAAGAUUAAUUAAAACAAUUUCACCUGAUUGAUUCUAUUGUAGUCUAUAUCUGUAAAUUAAUACCUUUCCUAUGCUUAAAUUGGUCAAAUUUGUUCAUUUCUCUUUUAAUGUAUCUUUAGGAACCUUCUUUUUUCAGAUUCCAAUUGAGAAAACUCUUUACUCUUUCAACCUCUUUUUUUCUUCCCUUAACAACUAACUCAUUUUUUUGGUUUGCUGAACAUACCUAAUCUCAUAAAAUUUCUGUUACAGUAGGUGAAACGUUGGUUCACAGAAAUUUGCUUGAAAAAUUUGCUAUUUUAAAUCUUUUGAUUAGCCUGUUUUACAAAUGUUCUGAUUUGUGUAUGAUUACAAUAGACUGAUUUUCAAAAAUCUCUUUUGUGUGUUGUUUUCUUAUGUGUUAAAGGUUAGGAAACUUUUCUGCUGGUGCUGAACUGGCCUGCUUGGUCAUAUCUCAAGAUUUUUUUCAGGUAUUCCAUUCAUAGCUCUCAUGUUGGAAAACGAGACGAGAAAACCCUUAAAGGCUCAGAAAUAAACUAAAUAAAUAUUUGUUUUCAAUAGCACAAAUUUUUAACAUGGUGUUUGAGAAAUCUGCAACUCAUCACAAUUGGUCAGCAUGCAAAUGGAGAUCAAGCUUUGGGGUAAGAAUACCACUCUGACUGUAGGGUUCUCUUUGCGUUCUUUCAUUUGCUGUUCCAUGAUUCUGUAUAAUGCCAGAUCUUGCAGAUCAUACUAUGUGCCUAUUCCCCAGCCGUUUGACUUGGCAGAAGAGUUCCCUCUGAUUUGUGUUUGUGUUUCAAGAGCCAGCAGCUUAGAGCAAAGAUCUGAUUUGACUGUCUUAACCUUGCUCUUUAGCAUCAGCUUUUCUUUAGCUCAACAUUUCUAUUCUCUGUCAUAGGUGCCUUAUGUACUGCUGGGUCUCCUUUAGGGAAAAGUGGAGAAUACACUUCGAGUUUUGACUGCUUUACUUUGCAAGCUAAUUUUCAAGAUUUCUGGCUAACUUCCUAACAAAAAAUUACUGGGGAAACUUGGAAGGCAGAGAGUACUUUUGGGAUCCUGAUGAUCCUAGGCCAUGACUUUCAUAUUGGGUAUCAGUGAUGUAGAAGGAAUAAGAGCUGGUUCCCCUGUAAGAAAUCUCAGCAGAAGGGGCCAGCAGGUGCCAGAAGAUGGUGCCAAAGCCUCUCACCUUGCUGAGUAGCAGGCUAAGUGCCAGCAGCCUGCACCCAGGGGCCUGUGCCCUGCUCACUUCAAGCUUUCAGCCUCAAAAAUCUCAUAGCUGUAGCUUGUUCCUGCAUCUGUCCUCUACAGGGAGGCUAAAAAGGAAAGCAAUGUGAUAUGCUGAAUGGAUAUUCCUAUUUCUACUGACUGCAAUUUCUCUGUGUUCUUUGAGUUCUAGAAAAAACUCUGUGUGUGUUGGGCUUCCUCAGAAAGAAAAUGCCUGGAAGCAACAAGGUAUUCCCCCUUGUCCCAG